CUGCACUCAGGGAGGGGAGUGUUUACAUGUCACACACAGUCACAGCAUGAAGAGACCAUUUAAGGCAAACAUUUGAGAUAAACUUGCAAUAUGAAGACUUUCACAAAGGAGCAUCCUUUUGGGAAUUUCUGCCCCAGGAGAGAUCCAAGGAAGAGAGUUCUGAAUAUGAGGACCAUUGGUCCAUCUGUCAGCUCUACUGAGAUUUCAUCUAAGGAAGUAAUGUGACUUUUCACAUAAGUUUCAGAAACCAUCCUCCAUUCCAUUCUUUCCACUUAAUUCAGAAAAACUAAGAUCCAACACCAAAACAAAGAAGUGCCAAGAAAACACAUCCAGGCUACUGACCUACUUCAUCUGCCAGCAAAAAUUCCAGGAAAUUUGACAGCUGGCUCACAAGCCGGGAUGAGGCAGCUCUGGGACAUGACUGAACACACCCAACAGGAAGAAGAUGAACAAUGGGAAAAAAGGGAGAGACCUUUUGGAAACGAAUAAGGGAGGGUGGUGUGAAUGCCCAGUGAGCCGUAAGAGGGAAGAAAGAGGCAGGUAAAAUAAGAUAUCGAAUAGCUGAUUGAGGAUUUUGAGGAAAUUCUCUCCAAACCUCAAACUGAGCCAACAUUUGGAAAUGCCUUUGCCACUUUCGACCCUUAAUCAAAGCUAUUGCCUUGGAUACUGGCUAAACUGGGAAGUUCAGGGAAAAAAAUCUGCCAAGCAGAUUUCAAACACUGGCAGUGGGAUCGACUUUGGGUGUGUGUGUAUUGGGGGUGAGGAGCAUGAAUCUGUUUUUCCCCACAGAGGAUGUUUUAUCUUGGUCUCAUUUCUUUCCAUAA